rnacentral:lncRNA from 1 species
AGCAGCGGGGUGGAAAUGCAGCCACUUCCCGGCUCCUGUUCUAAUGAGAUCAGUGCGCGCCCCUGGGAAAGGUGAGUGUGACACAGGUGGGACGUGGCUUUGCAUGAGCAGCUCCAUGCAUCCCAGCUGCAGGGUCUUCCGUGCAUGCCGUGCUCCAAGCAUCAGAGUCACUGGGCAACGCCGUGCAGCAGCAGGGCGGGCUCUGCAAAGGGAAUUGCAUCUGAACAGCGUUGCAUCUGAAUAGCGCUGCACCUGCAGAGUGUUGCAUCUGAACAGCAUUGCAUCUGAACAGCACGGUACCUGCACAGUAUUGCAUCUGCACAGUGUUACAUCCAAACAGCGUUGCACCUGAGCAACACAGUGCCUGCACAGUGUUUGCAUCUGAACAGCACAGUAUCUGCACAGCGUUGCAUCUGAAUAGCAUUGCACCUGCACAGUGUUGCAUCUGAACAGCAUUGCACCUGCUCAGCAUUGCAUCUGAACAACACAGUACCUACACAGCGUUGCAUCUGAACAGAACAGCACCUGCAUAUCAUUGCAUCUGAACAGCAUUGCGACUGCGUGGCACUGCAUCUGAAUAGCACUGCGCCUGCACUGCUUUGCACCUGCACGGUGUUGCACCUGCACUGCUUUGCACCUGCACAGUAAUGGCAUUGCACUUGCACAGAAGGAGAGGGAGAGAAAGCAGCCCUGGGAUCGGGACCUGCUGCUCACAGGGCCCCGCAGGGCUGUGCCCUCACUGUUUGCCCACAUCCCACCGAAAUCCCACGGGAUCGAUGGGGGUCGGCCGGGUGCACCGCCCCGAGGCCAUGGGAUCGAUGAGGAGUGAAGGAAAUGCGGCCGAAGAUGCGCGGUUUUACAGCUUCCUCCCCAAGAACGGCCGUGCUUUAUGGACUGCUGGUAAUUGCCAAUUAAUUGCGCUGCAGCCGAGGGCAGGAAAGCAGCCCGCAUCCUCCAUACGGGGUGGGCAGGAUAUCAGAGUCCGAAGGUGUUACCACUCCUCCACUUAAUGAAGAAAAAUCACGAUGGAGGCGGCCGGAGGCAACGCAAUGGGAUUGCAGCGGGGAGGAGAGGACUGUGUUAACACCCAUUAAUAAUAAAUAACCGCCAUAAUGAGCUCUAAUUAAUUUGGUCACACGUUAGAGAUCGCUUCCUUCUUUUUUAAGCUUGUAGGUUUUUCUGUGCCGGAGCAUCCCUGCGCCCUGGCUGUUCCCAGCCCCUUCCAUUCAACGUGUGAUAGAUGGAUUGAUACGCAGCUUUAAUCAGUGUAAUAUAUAAAGCACUUAAUUUGCCUUAUUAAAAGUCUGCACUUUGGAUUUUCAGGCUUCAGGAAAUUAACUCAAGCACCUAACCAUUUAUUUGAUUGAGAGAGAGCAUAAAUAAUUCAUGGCUUUUGCUUUGCCUUGGGUGGAAGAGCUGUGGGGUGAUGGGGAACGUUCCCCAGCACAGGGACAUGGCAGCUCUGCUUGGGGACCGACAGAGCGCCGUGUAAGGUGUGCAAUGUGCAUCCCUGGAGCGUGCAAGGCCUGCAAGCCAGCCCUUAUGGUGCGCAGUGUGCAACCUCAGAGCUGUGCACUGCUGCCACUACGGCGUGGGAUGCGUGUGCUUGAGGCUGUGCUUUGCCGGCUGGUCCUGAUGGCGCAGGAUGUGCAUCCCUGGGACGUUCAACAGCACUCAGCCCUUGGAGUGAGGGAUGUGCAUCCCUGGGAUGUGCAUCAGCAUCCAGCCCUUAAGGUGUGGGAUGUGCAUCCCUGGGAUGUGCAUCAGCAUCCAGCCCUUACGGUGUGGGAUGUGCAUCCCUGCGAUGUGCAUCAGCAUCCAGCCCUUACGGUGUGGGAUGUGCAUCCCUGCAAUGUUCACCACCGCCCAGCUCUUACAGUGAGGCAUGUGCACCCCUGGGCCCGUGCUUCCCCACUCCACCUUUCUGGUGUGGGGCGUGCACCCUUUGGGACCGCGCUUAGCCAGGCUCUGGGGCGCACAGUGCUCCGCUCCCGAGUCCGGCGGUGCCGACCCCACAGCGCGGGCGCGCA